rnacentral:antisense_RNA from 2 species
CUUCACCGAGCCGAGCCAGAGCGGGUCCUCCCGGUCCUGGCCGUACGUGGCGAGCAGCGCCUGCGCCUC